CUAGAUAGGCAAUGGAGGAGGUUUCUGUGUACAUUAUACAACAUAUGGUCUAGAUAGGCAAUGGAGGAGGUUUCUGUGUACAUUAUACAACAUAUGGUCUAGAUAGGCAAUGGAGGAGGUUUCUGUGUACAUUAUAUAACAUAUGGUCUAGAUAGGCAAUGGAGGAGGUUUCUGUGUACAUUAUACAACAUAUGGUCUAGAUAGGCAAUGGAGGAGGUUUCUGUGUACAUUAUACAACAUAUGGUCUAGAUAGGCAAUGGAGGAGGUUUCUGUGUACAUUAUACAACAUAUGGUCUAGAUAGGCAAUGGGGGAGGUUUCUGUAUACAUUAUACAACAUAUGGUCUAGAUAGGCAAUGGAGGAGGUUUCUGUGUACAUUAUAUAACAUAUGGUCUAGAUAGGCAAUGGAGGAGGUUUCUGUGUACAUUAUACAACAUAUGGUCUAGAUAGGCAAUGGAGGAGGUUUCUGUGUACAUUAUACAACAUAUGGUCUAGAUAGGCAAUGGAGGAGGUUUCUGUGUACAUUAUACAACAUAUGGUCUAGAUAGGCAAUGGAGGAGGUUUCUGUGUACAUUAUACAACAUAUGGUCUAGAUAGGCAAUAGGGGAGGUUUCUGUGUACAUUGUACAAUAUAUGGUCUAGAUAGGCAAUGGAGGAGGUUUCUGUGUACAUUAUACAACAUAUGGUCUAGAUAGGCAAUGGAGGAGGUUUCUGUGUACAUUAUACAACAUAUGGUCUAGAUAGGCAAUAGGGGAGGUUUCUGUGUACAUUGUACAAUAUAUGGUCUAGAUAGGCAAUGGAGGAGGUUUCUGUGUACAUUAUACAACAUAUGGUCUAGAUAGGCAAUGGAGGAGGUUUCUGUGUACAUUAUACAACAUAUGGUCUAGAUAGGCAAUGGAGGAGGUUUCUGUGUACAUUAUACAACAUAUGGUCUAGAUAGGCAAUGGAGGAGGUUUCUGUGUACAUUAUACAACAUAUGGUCUAGAUAGGCAAUGGAGGAGGUUUCUGUGUACAUUAUACAACAUAUGGUCUAGAUAGGCAAUGGAGGAGGUUUCUGUGUACAUUAUACAACAUAUGGUCUAGAUAGGCAAUGGAGGAGGUUUCUGUGUACAUUAUACAACAUAUGGUCUAGAUAGGCAAUGGGGGAGGUUUCUGUGUACAUUAAAAACAUAUGGUCUAGAUAGGCAAUGGGGGAGGUGGCAAUGGAGGAGGUUUCUGUGUACAUUAUACAACAUAUGGUCUAGAUAGGCAAUGGGGGAGGUUUCUGUAUAUAAUGUACAACAUAUGGUCUAGAUAGGCAAUGGAGGAGGUUUCUGUGUACAUUAUACAACAUAUGGUCUAGAUAGGCAAUGGAGGAGGUUUCUGUGUACAUUAUACAACAUAUGGUCUAGAUAGGCAAUGGAGGAGGUUUCUGUGUACAUUAUACAACAUAUGGUCUAGAUAGGCAAUGGAGGAGGUUUCUGUGUACAUUAUACAACAUAUGGUCUAGAUAGGCAAUGGGAUAGGUUUCUGAAUAUAUCUGUAGGAUAAGAUUGGUUUGACACCACAACAAUUUGUCUGCAUCAACCAAGCCAGACUAUCUGGACUGUGUUGCUCGUCUUGUGUAUGUUUACAUUCUCUGAGUAGGGUGUUGGUGUAGUCUGUUGUACUGUGUAUGUUUAUGUUCUGGGAGGAGUCAGGUGUUGGUAAAGUCUGUUGUACUGUGUAUGUUUAUGUUCUGGGAGGAGUCAGGUAAUGGUGUAGUCUGUUGUACUGUGUAUGUUUAUGUUCUGGGAGGAGUCAGGUGUUGGUGUAGUCUGUUGUACUGUGUAUGUUUAUGUUCUGGGAGGAGUCAGGUGUUGGUGUAGUCUGUUGUACUGUGUAUGUUUAUGUUCUGGGAGGAGUCAGGUGUUGGUGUAGUCUGUUGUACUGUGUAUGUUUAUGUUCUGGGAGGAGUCAGGUAAUGGUGUAGUCUGUUGUACUGUGUAUGUUUAUGUUCUGGGAGGAGUCAGGUAAUGGUGUAGUCUGUUGUACUGUGUAUGUUUAUGUUCUGGGAGGAGUCAGGUGUUGGUGUAGUCUGUUGUACUGUGUAUGUUUAUGUUCUGGGAGGAGUCAGGUGUUGGUGUAGUCUGUUGUACUGUGUAUGUUAAUGUUCUGGGAGGAGUCAGGUGUUGGUGUAGUCUGUUGUACUGUGUAUGUUUAUGUUCUGGGAGGAGUCAGGUGUUGGUGUAGUCUGUUGUACUGUGUAUGUUUAUGUUCUGGGAGGAGUCAGGUGUUGGUGUAGUCUGUUGUACUGUGUAUGUUUAUGUUCUGGGAGGAGUCAGGUGUUGGUGUAGUCUGUUGUACUGUGUAUGUUUAUGUUCUGGGAGGAGUCAGUUGAUGGUGUAGUCUGUUGUACUGUGUAUGUUAAUGUUCUGGGAGGAGUCAGGUGUUGGUGUAGUCUGUUGUACUGUGUAUGUUAAUGUUCUGGGAGGAGUCAGGUGUUGGUGUAGUCUGUUGUACUGUGUAUGUUUAUGUUCUGGGAGGAGUCAGGUGUUGGUGUAGUCUGUUGUACUGUGUAUGUUUAUGUUCUGGGAGGAGUCAGGUGAUGGUGUAGUCUGUUGUACUCUGCAAUAUUUUUGGUAAUUUCUGUUCUCAUUUUUUAUGUAUAAUGCAUAAAUACAAAUUAUUCAAGAAAAAUCAGAGGACUGGGAGAUAAACAUUUAUGAAGGAUCAGUAAAAUUUAAUUUAGUCCAGUAAAUGCUAAUAUUUUAAUCAGACUAAAUGAAUUUCACACAAAUUAUAAACA